CGUCUAGAGGCCUAGGACACCGCCCUUUCACGGCGGUAACAGGGGUUCGAAUCCCCUA
rnacentral:tRNA from 2 species